rnacentral:lncRNA from 1 species
AUGCUUGAGUCCUUGAUAGUUUACAAUUUACAGUUCUUACUAUGUCGUGACUCUGUGGUGGGAUCACAAACUGAACUGAGUGGGUUCUCCUGGCUCCUGCACCUGGGUGGACCCAGCUGUUGCAGCUGCCUGUGGACAGGCCAGGGGUGGGAGUGGGGGAGGGCAGUUGGUAGGCACUUCAGGUGGAUGAUUUGGUUCAUGACUUGUGCUUUUUCUUGUUUUGCCUGCAGAUGGCAGCACGCCCUGGACUUGUCUGCACCGCAAGCGGCCCUGAGGAGGGACAGCAGGGAGACAAGAAAAUGGACUCCCCUCUGCAACCUGCAAUGUACCAGGGUUUGCAGCCUAUUGGAGGAAAACAACAUCAAGAGGCUGAAAUCCAAGGAUGGAAACCUGAUCGCCUCAGAGCCCCCUGCCCGGCACACAGCCCAGAGCAUGGAAGGUGCUCAGUAG